UACAGAGGGUGCAAGCGUUGUUCGGAAUUACUGGGCGUAAAGCGCGUGUAGGCGGGCUUCCAAGUCAGAUGUGAAAUCCCUGGGCUCAACCCAGGAACUGCAUUCGAGACUGCAUUGCUAGAGUAUGGGAGAGGGAAGUGGAAUUUCAGGUGUAGCGGUGAAAUGCGUAGAUAUCUGAAGGAACAUCAGUGGCGAAAGCGACUUCCUGGACCAAUACUGACGCUCAUGUGCGAAAGCGUGGGGAGCAAACAGGG
rnacentral:rRNA from 1 species